GACGAACGCUGGCGGCGUGCUUAACACAUGCAAGUCGAACGGAAAGGCCCUGCUUUUGUGGGGUGCUCGAGUGGCGAACGGGUGAGUAACACGUGAGUAACCUGCCCUUGACUUUGGGAUAACUUCAGGAAACUGGGGCUAAUACCGGAUAGGAGCUCCUGCUGCAUGGUGUGGGUUGGAAAGUUUCGGCGGUUGGGGAUGGACUCGCGGGUUAUCAGCUUGUUGGUGGGGUAGUGGCUUUCCAAGGCUUUGACGGGUAGCCGGCCUGAGAGGGUGACCGGCCACAUUGGGACUGAGAUACGGCCCAGACUCCUACGGGAGGCAGCAGUGGGGAAUAUUGCACAAUGGGCGGAAGCCUGAUGCAGCAACGCCGCGUGCGGGAUGACGGCCUUCGGGUUGUAAACCGCUUUCGCCUGUGACGAAGCGUGAGUGACGGUAAUGGGUAAAGAAGCACCGGCUAACUACGUG
rnacentral:rRNA from 1 species